CCUGCGUGAAGUUGGAAUCGCUAGUAAUCGCGGAUCAGCAUGCCGCGGUGAAUACGUUCCCGGGCCUUGUACACACCGCCCGUCACACCAUGAGAGUCGGGAACACCCGAAGUCCGUAGUCUAACCGCGAAGGGGGACGCGGCCGAAGGUGGGUUCGAUAAUUGGGGGUGAAGUCGUAACAAGGUACC
rnacentral:rRNA from 1 species